rnacentral:rRNA from 1 species
UACGUAGGUGGCGAGCGUUGUCCGGAAUUACUGGGCGUAAAGCGCGCGUAGGCGGUCUGCCAAGUCUGUGGUGAAAUCGCUCGGCUCAACUGGGCGGGGUCCGUGGAAACUGGUCAACUGGAGGACGGUAGAGGCAAGUGGAAUUUCCGGUGUAGUGGUGAAAUGCGUAGAGAUCGGGAGGAACACCAGUGGCGAAGGCGGCUUGCUGGGCCGGAACUGACGCUGAGGCGCGAAAGCCAGGGGAGCAAACGGG